CCUGGGGAGUACGGCCGCAAGGUUAAAACUCAAAUGAAUUGACGGGGGCCCGCACAAGCGGUGGAGCAUGUGGUUUAAUUCGAUGCAACGCGAAGAACCUUACCUGGUCUUGACAUCCACAGAACUUUCCAGAGAUGGAUUGGUGCCUUCGGGAACUGUGAGACAGGUGCUGCAUGGCUGUCGUCAGCUCGUGUUGUGAAAUGUUGGGUUAAGUCCCGCAACGAGCGCAACCCUUAUCCUUUGUUGCCAGCGGUUCGGCCGGGAAC
rnacentral:rRNA from 1 species